GACGAACGCUGGCGGCGUGCUUAACACAUGCAAGUCGAACGGAAAGGCCCUGCUUUUGUGGGGUGCUCGAGUGGCGAACGGGUGAGUAACACGUGAGUAACCUGCCCUUGACUUUGGGAUAACUUCAGGAAACUGGGGCUAAUACCUGAUAGGAGCUCCUGCUGCAUGGUGGGGGUUGGAAAGUUUCGGCGGUUGGGGAUGGACUCGCGGCUUAUCAGCUUGUUGGUGGGGUAGUGGCUUACCAAGGCUUUGACGGGUAGCCGGCCUGAGAGGGUGACCGGGGACAUUGGGACUGAGAUACGGACCAGACUCCUACGGGAGGCAGCAGUGGGGAAUAUUGCACAAUGGGCGGAAGCCUGAGGCAGCAACGCCGCGUGCGGGAUGAAGGCCUUCGGGUUGUAAACCGCUUUCGCCUGUGACGAAGCGUGAGUGACGGUAAUGGGUAAAGAAGCACCGGCUAACUACGUG
rnacentral:rRNA from 1 species